rnacentral:lncRNA from 1 species
AUUAGGGCAAAUUUGGUUGCCUGCAUAAGGCCCAAUCAGGCCCGUGUGGGAAGUAAUUAGGAUGUUUGGUUACCUGCAUUCACUAUUGGGCCCGCAUAGUGCGAAGUUUAAAUCACAUACAAGCCUCGCCCAUGAGCCACUGCUUAAUCGGCAGUUUAUCCGCACCCAGGUGGAGCGUGGCCACGUGUGGCUCUUGGCUACACACCUCAGGGAGCGCAGGAGGCGAACGGGACGUCUCAUAACUCCAUUUCCCUCUCUUGUCACCGCCCACUACAUUCACACCAUUCCCU